AACGCCUGCGGCGUGCCUAAUACAUGCAAUUCGAACGAACUUCCGUUAAUUGAUUAUGACGGACUUGACUGAUUGAGAUUUUAACACCAAGUGAGUGCGAACGGGUUAGUACACGUGGGUAACCUGCCCAGAAGUAGGGGAUAACACCUGGAACCAGAUGCUAAUACCGUAUACCACAGAAAACCGCAUGGCUUUUCUUUUAAAAGAUGGCUCUGCUAUCACUUCUGGAUGGACCCGCGGCGCAUUAGCUAGUUGGUGAGGUAAAGGCUCACCAAGGCAGUGAUACGUAGCCGACCUGAGAGGGUAAUCGGCCACAUUGGGACUGAGACACGGCCCAGACUCCUACGGGAGGCAGCAGUAGGGAAUCUUCCACAAUGGACGCAAGUCUGAUGGAGCAACGCCGCGUGAGUGAAGAAGGGUUUCGGCUCGUAAAGCUCUGUUGUUAAAGAAGAACGUGGGUAAGAGUAACUGUUUACCCAGUGACGGUAUUUAACCAGAAAGCCACGGCUAACUA
rnacentral:rRNA from 1 species